rnacentral:lncRNA from 1 species
GACAUUAAUAGUCUGCUAGCAAUGGGAAGACAACCAUAACGGCAUGAGCUAAAUUAUCCAGUGCGCACAACUAGUUAGAAACAAACAUCCUUUGACAAGAAGCUUCUAAUUAAAUCAUGACUGCGCCUAAGCAGCGUUAUUAUAAGAGUGAAGGUGGAUGUGCUGCUACCUCCCACUUCCCUUGAUGAGCAACAAGCACCUGCAUUGAGUAAUGCAAGAGUGAGAUGAAACAUCUCAGCAAGCGAAUAAUUUUGACGAGAUAUUUAAACCACAAAUUGAAUUCAUCAACAUUUUAAAAGAGUCACAAUUAAAAUCAGAAAUACUUGUAGAUAUGGAACUCAGUAGUCCCACUAUAACCGAUACCAUCUCAUUUCCUCGAACAACCACAAUAGGUUCUAUAACACUUCCCUGCGUCAACAAUACCUGCAAAUAUCACUUCAAUGUAUGCAUAGGAAUGCAAUGUGUAGGUACUCUAUCUUCGUACCUCUGAGAGUAUAAAACAACAUCAUCUGCAAAUAUCACUUCAAUGAAUGCAAUGCAUAUGUCCUCUGCCUUCAUACCUCUAAGGGUAUGAAGCCGCAUCGUACCCCUCCUCGGGCAACGUACGAUGCUAAAUUGUACCGGUACGGUCGGACCAUAGGUCACGACAAAACUUCAGAUGCAAAUGAGUCAUGCAAUGUAUAUGGCAUGCUGCAUUUAUCUAUAACCUUCACUUCCUUCAGAUACAAUACAAACCUCAAAUAAUACUUUAUUUACAUUCAGAUACAAUACCAACCUCAAAUAAUACUUCAUUUACCUUCAGAUACAAUACCAACCUCAAAUAAUACUUCAUUUACCUUCAGGGGUGUGAAUUAAUCUCAUGAAUCAUACUCGAAUCAUAAUCAUCAUCAAUAUAUGAUUGAGCAUCAGUAUAAUGCAAGCAAGUAAAGCAUCACCAUAGAGUCCAAUUAUGAAAGAAUCCAAUACUUCUGAAUAUUAGAGUGUAGGCAAUAGAAAUAACAGGUCAGAACGGAAACAACCACCGCUACAUUCACUUGCCUUCAUCGAAGAAGAAGAAAUGUACUAGACAUGAUAUGGAGUGUAGCCACCUUCUAGCGGGCAUAAAACUUAGUACAAAUAUUUCACAAACAUUUGCCAUCAAUCAACAAAACAUUCCUACACUUGAAACCAAGACCCAGUGGAAAGACUCCCACCCUGAACCACAUGCCAUACAGCAGCAGCGCUGUUUGUUAAUUUUGUAUCUUUAAAAUUAAAACAGCAGUGAUAUCAAACAAAUACUCUAGCAGUAUCUACACAAAAUACUCUACAACUUCAGUAUUCAAUGGAUAAUUAAAUUCUGCCAUCUACAAGUUCUAAAACAUCUGACAAGAUAACUGACUGAAUCUGUUUUAGACAGCAGUAUGGUUAACUUUAAAAUUCGAUAUCUCCCAAACUACUGAACCAAAAAUUAUGAAAUUCUUCUGGAAGUAAGAACUUUUAUCCCUCUACAAAAGUCUCCAUAGUUGGAAGAGCCAAUUCGGCCAUUUACUAGAUGAAACCCACCCGUAAACAGACCCACUCAUUUUUGUCAGGCAAACAGGAACAACCACAGUAAAACAAACAUAACUGGAGUUUCACAAAUCAUAUGACUGCACUCUUUAACAAUCUGGAAAGCUUAUGAAAUUAUCUACAACGUCUUUUACCAACCCACAGUUUAAUUCUGUUGAUAAAAUUGCCUAACUCUUAAGAGAACAGAUUCUGCAUAGAAUUAUGAGACUGAAAAACUGCUAUAAUCAAACUGUCAUAACUUUAUGUUCUAAUGUCCGAUUGAGGUGUUCUUCGCGGCCACGGAAAGAUCUACAAAUUAUCUACGACUCAUAUAUAGACUUUUUAUUUUUUUGAGGCCAUUAAGAUCACGGAAAACUGGUAUGAACAGAAACUGUCGAAUCUGCCAUUCUGCAGAAAUUAAAUUCGAAAUCAAAACCUAACCCCACACCUAAUCCAACCUCUAAUCCUUCAAUCCACAUGAUCCACAACCUCCAAAAGCACAUAAUUAUAGGGAGAAACAAGGAUCCCAUCCUUACCUAGGGUUUUCCCUAAGAAAAAUCUGCAAGCGAUGGGGGUAGCACAUCUCCUUGAUCCUCUCUUCCACUUCAAUCCAUCUUGUUCCUCCUCUUCUCGAUCCUUGUUGCGUGGGGGGGGGGAGAUCUAGGGAGGAAGAAGUAUUGGAGGGCUGCUGCAAUGGGGGGAGAGGGGGCGACCAGCCAAGGGGGAAAAG